rnacentral:rRNA from 1 species
GGAUGCGAUCAUACCAGCACUAAAGCAUCGGAUCCCAUCAGAACUCCGAAGUUAAGCGUGCUUGGGUGAGAGUAGUACUAGGAUGGGUGACCUCCUGGGAAGUCCUCGUGUUGCUUUCC